UACGUAGGGUGCAAGCGUUGUCCGGAAUUAUUGGGCGUAAAGAGCUCGUAGGCGGUUUGUCGCGUCGAAUGUGAAAACCCGGGGCUCAACUCCGGGCCUGCAUUCGAUACGGGCAGACUAGAGUUCGGUAGGGGAGACUGGAAUUCCUGGUGGUAGCGGUGAAAUGCGCAGAAUAUCAGGAGGAACACCGGUGGCGAAGGCGGGAU
rnacentral:rRNA from 1 species